AUGUGUAUGUCUAGAAAAGUUGUAACCCUUUGAGUCUUCUUUACAAUUUCGCAAGAAUCACAUAAUUUGGACAUUUCUAGGCUGAGAUAUG